CCAAGUGCAGUUGAAUUUAUGAACCAUAGUAGAAACUCAAAUGAAGUCACUGUUAGCUGGCCGUCACCUAGAAGUCUCCUAGAUGGAUUCAUUAUUUCAAUAUCUAGUGAAAGCUUAAUGAAAGAAGAAAUCCUGCCCUCGACAAAAAGGACAUUCACAUUUGAUAGCCUUUCUCCGGGGACUGACUUUUUAAUUAGUGUCAUAACUACCAAGGGACAAAAGAGAAGCCAUCCUACUGUCCUCCUGGUUAGCACUUAUCCAGACCCACCAUCAGAUUUGUUAAUUUUGGGGCAGGAAGAAAAUACAAUAUAUUUGUCUUGGAAAUUCCCACAAGGAGGCUUUGAAAAGUUU